rnacentral:rRNA from 1 species
CCCUUAGAUGUCCGGGGCUGCACGCGCGCUACACUGUAGAAAGCAGCGUGCUUUAAAACCUUUCCUGAAAAGGAUGGGUAACCCCAGCAAAAUUCUACGUGCUUGGGAUAGAGAUUUGCAAUUUUCUCUCUUGAACGAGGAAUUCCCAGUAAGUGCGAGUCAUCAGCUCGCGUUGAUUACGUCCCUGCCCUUUGUACACACCGCCCGUCGCUACUACCGAUUGGGAAAAUUUUAGAGAGUCCUGGACUGAUGAUUGUUCGGCUUCACGGCCUUACUUUCGUCGGGAAAGAAUUCGAUAAUAUUUUUCUAGAAGAAGUAAAAGUCGUAACA